GUUGGAAACGGCUGCUAAUACCGCAUAAGCGUACGGCAUCGCAUGAUGCAGUGUGAAAAACUCCGGUGGUAUAAGAUGGACCCGCGUUGGAUUAGCUAGUUGGUGAGGUAACGGCCCACCAAGGCGACGAUCCAUAGCCGACCUGAGAGGGUGACCGGCCACAUUGGGACUGAGACACGGCCCAAACUCCUACGGGAGGCAGCAGUGGGGAAUAUUGCACAAUGGGCGAAAGCCUGAUGCAGCGACGCCGCGUGAGCGAAGAAGUAUUUCGGUAUGUAAAGCUCUAUCAGCAGGGAAGAUAAUGACGGUACCUGACUAAGAAGCACCGGCUAAAUACGUGCCAGCAGCCGCGGUAAUACGUAUGGUGCAAGCGUUAUCCGGAUUUACUGGGUGUAAAGGGAGCGCAGGCGGUGCGGCAAGUCUGAUGUGAAAGCCCGGGGCUCAACCCCGGUACUGCAUUGGAAACUGUCGUACUAGAGUGUCGGAGGGGUAAGCGGAAUUCCUAGUGUAGCGGUGAAAUGCGUAGAUAUUAGGAGGAACACCAGUGGCGAAGGCGGCUUACUGGACGAUAACUGACGCUGAGGCUCGAAAGCGUGGGGAGCAAACAGGAUUAGAUACCCUGGU
rnacentral:rRNA from 1 species